rnacentral:lncRNA from 1 species
CUGGGAUUCUCUGCCUCUAACCCUUUUACGGGGGCUGAGUCACUGGCUUACUGGUGUUCUUCCAUGCCGUCCAUGGGAGGGGUGCGUCACUUAAGUGGGUUGAGUCACUGACGUGGUCUUCCUGUCUGGGUUGGCGCCCCCCCCCCUUGGGUUGUGCCGUGGCGGAGAUCUUUGUGGGCUAUACUCGGCCUUGUCUUAGGACGAACUGAAAGACGACCACCACCUGGUGGUAGAGCGCGUCUAUUUUCCAGACGAACAGGAAGCUGCCAUUACGCAAAUGGUAGUUGAAAAAUAAUACCAUAUAAGACUGUAGGAAAUCCAACAACAGACGAUUGAAAAAAAAAAACCCUGCCAUCUUCCAUAACAUCAGAGUGAGUUUAUCAACCACAGCCCCCAUCCUUCAGAAACACCAUCUCCGUAUGAAGCAAAUCUACAGAGUCCCGUUUGAAAGGAAUUCCCAACGAGUGAAGGAUAAACGAGGAUCAUGGAGUUGGAUGUCCGUCCCAUCGCCCCAGGGACUGAUGUUCAGAAAUGAGGCUGGAUUCAAUUUAGGCGAAGACGAGGAGGAGAGGAAGGAACAUCAUUGGUCAACGCGCCAUCAUUGAGGUACCUUGCCAGUUCGGGGGAAAUAUCACCAUAUAAUCCACAAUGUGGUCCUCCACCGCCAUGCUACACUUGGACCAUACAACACUGCCCAUCUCCUUCAUUUCCUGAACACCUUCCCGAGACAAUCUUUUUUAGCCAGGGCAGAGAGCGCCAGGUGAGGCUGAGCAGAGAGGGCCAGGUGACCCUGAGCAGAGAGGGCCAGGUAAACCUGAGCAGCAAAUGUAUAUUCUAAUUUGGGACCAUUGCGUUUCCAUCGUGCUGCUCAGGUCAGCAACUGGUUCCAUGACCAUCCCAGGUUUACAAUUCUCUAUCUCCCACCAUAUUCCCUAUUUCUCAACACCACUGAGGAGUUGUUUUCAGCGUGGUGGAGGAAGGUGUAUGAUCGCAAACCCCAUGAAUGUAUGGCUGUUCUCCAGGCAAUGGAGGAGGCCUGGGGUGACAUUCCAGCAGAGUCCUGUCAGGGGUGGAUGAGUUAUGCCAGAAGAUAUUAUGCCAGAAGAUAUUUCUCCCCUGCUCUCUGGCCAAGGAGGAUAUCGCCCGUGAUGUUGAUGAAAAUCUGUGGCCAGAACAAAACAGACAUGACUGAUUUUGUUUUUCGCAAUGGAGUAUUUGUUUCUUGACUUAUGAUUUUUACUGUAUUUUUGCUGUUUCUUUAUCUAUUCUGUACAAUUGGUCUAACAUACAAUACAGUAGUACAAAUAGGUCUAUUUUUCAUCCUUUAUAUAUGC